AACGAACGCUGGCGGCAUGCCUAACACAUGCAAGUCGAACGAGACCUUCGGGUCUAGUGGCGCACGGGUGCGUAACGCGUGGGAAACUGCCCUUAGGCUCGGAAUAACUCCCCGAAAGGGGUGCUAAUACCGGAUAAUGUCUUCGGACCAAAGAUUUAUCGCCUUUGGAUGGGCCCGCGUUGGAUUAGCUAGUUGGUAGGGUAAAAGCCUACCAAGGCGACGAUCCAUAGCUGGUCUGAGAGGAUGAUCAGCCACACUGGGACUGAGACACGGCCCAGACUCCUACGGGAGGCAGCAGUGGGGAAUAUUGGACAAUGGGCGAAAGCCUGAUCCAGCAAUGCCGCGUGAGUGAUGAAGGCCUUAGGGUUGUAAAGCUCUUUUACCCGGGAUGAUAAUGACAGUACCGGGAGAAUAAGCGCCGGCUAACUCCGUG
rnacentral:rRNA from 1 species